rnacentral:rRNA from 1 species
UACGGGGGGAGCAAGCGUUGUUCGGAUUUACUGGGCGUAAAGGGCGCGUAGGCGGCCACCUCAAGUCAGUUGUGAAAUCUCUGGGCUUAACCCAGAAAGGUCAACUGAUACUGCGGGGCUAGAGUGCAGAAGGGGCAACUGGAAUUCUCGGUGUAGCGGUGAAAUGCGUAGAUAUCGAGAGGAACACCUGCGGCGAAGGCGGGUUGCUGGGCUGACACUGACGCUGAGGCGCGAAAGCUAGGGGAGCGAACGGG